rnacentral:rRNA from 1 species
AGAAAUAACAAUACAAGGCAGUUAAAAUGCUUUGUAAUUGGAAUGAUAGAAAUUUAAACCCUUUUUAAAGUAUCAAUUGGAGGGCAAGUCUGGUGCCAGCAGCCGCGGUAAUUCCAGCUCCAAUAGCGUAUAUUAAAAUUGUUGCAGUUAAAAAGCUCGUAGUUGAAGUUCUGCUAAAAGUAACCGGUCUGCUUUUAAUAAAGGUGGUAUCUUGGUGUGUAUUUAGCAAUGAUGUCCUUUGAAGUGUUUUUUACUUUAUUGUAAUAAAGCAUAUUCAGGACUUUUACUUUGAGAAAAUUAGAGUGUUUCUAGCAGGCUGACGCUUUGAAUACUGCAGCAUGGAAUAAUAAGAUAGGAUUUUAGUUCUACAUUAUUGGUUUUAAGAGCUAAAUUAAUGAUUGAUAGGGACAGUUGGGGGCAUUUGUAUUUAACUGUCAGAGGUGAAAUUCUUAGAUUUGUUAAAGACAAAC